rnacentral:rRNA from 2 species
GGACAUGCCGCGUGAGUGAGAGGGUUUCGGCUCGUAAAACUCUGUUGUUAAAGAAGAACACCUUUGAGAGUAACUGUUCAAGGGUUGACGGUAUUUAACCAGAAAGCCACGGCUAACUACGUGCCAGCAGCCGCGGUAAUACGUAGGUGGCAAGCGUUGUCCGGAUUUAUUGGGCGUAAAGCGAGCGCAGGCGGUUUUUUAAGUCUGAUGUGAAAGCCUUCGGCUUAACCGGAGAAGUGCAUCGGAAACUGGGAGACUUGAGUGCAGAAGAGGACAGUGGAACUCCAUGUGUAGCGGUGGAAU